UCGUGGGUUGCCCGCCGCCUCCACACGCAGCGACCUUCGCCUCGGACGGCGUGUUCCCCAGCCUGCAGCUGCAGGUCCCACCGCUGAGGACGCCGGGAGAGGGAAAACCCGGCCUCCCCGGCCUCCUCGCGUGGGCUCUUCAGAGCUUACCAACCCUCCCCGUGGGCGCUAGGGAGGGACUCUGGGGAAAAGCUUUGGGGGCUGGGUAUUGAUACGUGCCCAAGAUGGGUGUCAGGACCACCCCCUGCCGCCUCCACCGGCCUAACGGGUUCUGGGGAGGGCUCGGGACGGUCUGCCCUGCUGGCCAACCCGCGGCGCCUGAAGAGCUGUCCAUGGUGUCCCCUUGCUAACUGCGCCGAGUUCUUACUAUGACUGAGCGUCUGGGUAUACAUCUAUAGCCCCAGAAGAAAAACAUGUGGAAGGUACAGCUCCAGCAGCCACAGACAACUCCAUACAAGGCUUAUGUGACUCCGUCAGAAGAGAAACUGAGAUCAGUAAACAGCCUGAUGGAUGUUUCAGACGUCAGCUCUAAUAGUGUCAAUGAAAUGAAGGUAAACACCAUGAUUUUUAAAUGUUGCUUUUUGACUGAGUCAUUUCUCCUAUGGGCAGUUCCCUGUAUCAGGCUGAAACAUGCAAUCACCAUUUCCAUAGGUCAAAAAUAUUCACAUAGUGACUAUAUAUGGCCCAGUCUAAUAGUAUGUCCCCAGUACAUGACAGGAUUUAUUAAUUUAGAAAUUAUUGAACAUUGCAA